rnacentral:rRNA from 1 species
UGGCCUCCAUAAUUUGAAUUAUUGUCUUUAUGCCAGGUGGAGGACCUUUGCAAUCUUCUCAAGCUUUAUGCUAACUGGUACUCUUACUUGAUCCCAUAUUACUCCUUCGAACAAUUUGUGUGCAAAGUUGAGGAAGUUGGGGCCAGUAAUCAUGUUAGAAUAAACCUCUUUCUUCCUUUAAGGGUUUGUCCAUACUAUGAGGGAUCGACCUUCAAAGGUCAGCUACCGUCUCCAUUUUCCUUGGGUCCCAAAUUGAAGUGUUUGUCCCUCUUCAUUUGUUAUUAG